rnacentral:miRNA from 2 species
GAUCAUGUGGUAGCUUCACC